AAAUUGAAGAGUUUGAUCAUGGCUCAGAUUGAACGCUGGCGGCAGGCCUAACACAUGCAAGUCGAGCGGAAACGAGUUAUCAGAACCUUCGGGGAACGAUAACGGCGUCGAGCGGCGGACGGGUGAGUAAUGCCUAGGAAAUUGCCCUGAUGUGGGGGAUAACCAUUGGAAACGAUGGCUAAUACCGCAUGAUGCCUACGGGCCAAAGAGGGGGACCUUCGGGCCUCUC
rnacentral:rRNA from 1 species